GGCAAAAGCAGCAACAAGGACGAGAGAAUGAAGGCAAUGCAAUAUCUGAUUGCCUUGAAAGACGAGCGCCACGGCAAAGCCAAGUCUGAAGUGUUGGAAGAGGAGGGGCUAUCUCAGAGUCAUGAGUUUUACCACGCCCUGACGGAGGAUGAUGUCCCAGAUGAAGCUGAAAACAUGAAACCAAAGGACACAAAUAUACAACUCUUCCGAUUGUCUGAUGCCUCAGGACAGUUGACCUUCAAAGUGGAAAAGUCAGGGGCUGUGUCCACCUCAGACCUGGACAGUAAGGAUGUGUUUAUUGUUGACACCAAGAAAGCCAUCAUUGUGUGGAUUGGGCAGGAAACAUCAAUGGCCGAGAGAAAGAAUGCUAUGGCUUACGCUCAUAAAUACCUACAGAGCACUGACCAUCCAUUACUGAGUGUGGCCUGUCUGGCCGAGGGGAAACACGAUAAACAGAUCCGCUUGGCCCUCAGUGCUUAAUGCCCCAAGACCAAAGGCCGAGGACAAAGAGGCGGAGUUAGGAUCUGCUCUAAGAUCUUCAGAGUGAUAGCUGGAGUCAGUAUCAGCAAUAUUUAGUGUUUUAGUUGUAUUGUUCAAGGUUUCAGUGUUUAGUGUAUUGGUAAGAGAUUGGAUCAAUUUAAAACAGGGACCAGACUUUUACAGUCAUGUAUGGAGACAGGUUUAUAUUUACAUCUGUUCAAGUUUUUGUUCUACUUUUGACAUAUAUUUUUUAAAAGAUCAAUGUAAGCCUAGUUCAAUCAUUGUUUUACGUACUUGUCUUGUUUUUCUUUCUUUAUCUCUUUGUAGUGCCUAUUCUCUCUGUGCAAUAGAUCAGAAUUUUGCAAUAAUUUAUUUAGACUUAGAAUAUAAAGAUAUUUAAUAAACUUGAGCAGCAAUAUUUCUGUG
rnacentral:misc_RNA from 1 species